rnacentral:rRNA from 1 species
AGGACGAACGCUUGCGACGUGCCUAAGAAAUGCAAGUCGAACGGAAUUACCUUCGGGUAGUUUAGUGGCGAACGGUCGCGUAACAUGUGGGCAACCUGCCCUGAAGCGGGGGACAACAACUCGAAAGAGUUGCUAAUACCGCAUGUGUAUCGGAAUGGCAUCAUUCAGGAUACAAAGGACUUCGGUUCACUUCAGGAUGGGCCCGCGGCCUAUCAGCUAGUUGGUAAGGUAAUGGCUUACCAAGGCUUCGACGGGUAGCUGGUCUGAGAGGACGAUCAGCCGGAUUGGGACUGAGAUACGGCCCAGACUCCUACGGGGGGCAGCAAUUAGGAAUCUUGCGCAAUGGGCGAAAGCCUGACGCAGCGACGUCGCGUGAAGGAUGAAAUCUUUCGGGAUGUAAACUUCUUUUACCAGGGAAGAAACAAUGACGGUACCUGGUGAAUAAGCCCGGCUAACUACGCGCCAGCAGCCGC